rnacentral:tRNA from 1 species
UCCUGGGUGGCUCAGUUGGUUAAGUGUCUGACUUUAGCUCAGGUUAUUUCAGGGUCCUGGGAUCAAACCCUGCUUAGGAC